CCACAUCAACAUUUCCGUU
rnacentral:miRNA from 1 species